UACGUAGGGGGCGAGCGUUGUCCGGAAUUAUUGGGCGUAAAGAGCUCGUAGGCGGCUUGGCAAGUCGGAUGUGAAAACUCCAGGCUCAACCUGGAGCCGCCAUUCGAUACUGCUAUGGCUAGAGUCCGGUAGGGGAGUGUGGAAUUCCCGGUGUAGCGGUGAAAUGCGCAGAUAUCGGGAGGAACACCGAUGGCGAAGGCAGCACUCUGGGCCGGCACUGACGCUGAGGAGCGAAAGCGUGGGGAGCAAACGGG
rnacentral:rRNA from 1 species